GACGCGCCACAACGGCUUCCUGACGUGGCGCGGAUAAACCUAAUGGAGCG
rfam:Tateyamaria sp. ANG-S1 contig_3, whole genome shotgun sequence.